UCAUCCACAUUCAAGAACUUGAUUGCUCAAACUCAAAAGCAAAAUAAGUUUAAAAAUGAAAAGUAAAAAUCAAGUUCUUGACGGAUCGUGCUUGUGAUUUCGGUGGUGAGACGUUGGCUUACUGGGGAUUUGGCAGCACGUUAGAACCUCAUUGAACGACUUCAGGCGCAAGUGCAGCUGGACGUUAGAGUUUACGAGCCGACACACAAGUUAUUCAGACGUGGAGCUUUCAUCCGGAUUUGGUAGGCCUUCAUGCUUUAGAGGAUGCUUACUGAUUCAUUCUAGUGUAGACGUAGGCAUGAGAUAGUGGAGUAUGUCCCACUAGCAUUUCUUUCGAAUUUACUUUCAGACAAUGUAUUGGUGCCACUUUGGCAACUCUAUAUUGAUGACUAUAUCUUUCAUUUGAUUAUCUUGAUUUAGAUGGUUGUUCUGAA